UAUAUCCUCUUGUUUCUCCCUGGGAACCAGAGUACUAGUUAUGGACAAGAGCAUCUACUGACCUGACAGUAAAACACCCCAUUGGCCUGAAUUUGAGUUGCAAAUAUCUGCACGAACUCAUGAGGCUCCCUACCUGUUCUCCGUCUAUCCACAUACACCGAUACAUAUAUUUUUGAGUAUACGUAUUUACCUACUGCCUAGAAACAAUGACCAGUAGUAACAAGUACUCCUAGUACCCAGAUUAUGGACUUGAAAUACCAUUUCUCCCUGGAAAAUGAUUGCAACUGUGGGACAAGAACAUACAAGAUAAGCCGAAAACACUGUGAUAUGCGAGGCUGCAAGGACGCUACUGAAGGCUACUAGCGUCACGUGAGAAGGAUUCAGAAGCCAGAAUGAAGAAGCCGCCGCUGGCCAAAGAUGGGACAAUCGAGCUGCAAUACGGGUAUGAGGAAUCCAUCAACAGACCACCUAGAAGACUCUCACAGACCAGCUGAUCUAGUCACCGCACUCAGAACCCAACAACGACUCCGGCAGAAGAUGCUAUUUUCAGACGCUGCUCAGCACAACAGAACAGGGAGCAAAACGUACGUUACUCAUGUGAAUCUGCAAAUGUGUAUGGCAAGCGGAGGAGAGAAUGUUCUUGGAUAAAACACAGGUACCGGCCAUCAGAACUGUAACAGUCCAAGUGCAGUGUGCAUUUAAAAAACAUUUUCAAAGCGGUCUCAUUUCUAAACAUCGAACUGGAUGCAGCAGGCAAAAACUCCCUCCAUAUCAUCUCGUCCUGCAUCAUCUCCGUGCCACGGUCCACUCACUCCUCAGCCAGGCAUCCACCCCGGCCCAGCUCUCAGGUGUGCAUUCCCUCGGCCCCUAAGCCCAUGGUGAACACUAUUCUAGAUUUAUCCUGAUUGCAGACUCACUUCACAAAUGUGGAUCGGAUUUCACCUGCAAACUGCUUAAGAGUCAGGAAGGUGAAAUGGGAAGAGAGCUCACGCUGCUGCGUCUGUGUCUCACGUCCGAUUCUAUACAAAUGACUCACAGAACCUGUCACUUAAUCCUCACGGGCGUCCACGAGGUAGAUAUUCCUAAGCCUAUUUUACAGAUGAUGAACGGAAAGUUCCGAAAGGCACGGCGACCUGGUAAGACGAUAAACUCAAUGAGCAGCUGGGUGGCUCCCCGGGGCCCACGAUGUCCGUACCAGCACCUGUCCCUACCCCUCACCAGAGCACCCCCGCCGCGGCAGGCAGACAAGACGCUCCAAUGCUUCUCCGCCACGAGCCAAGUUGAAGGGUCAGUAAGUGGGUCGUCUCCUGACGGUACUUUGCUAAUGAUAUUUUACGACCAAAGUCUGGCCCUGUCUGUGGCUCUCAAGGAAAACAAACAACCUGGUGAACAAGCAUUAUCAUCCCAGGUGUGAUAACAACGAUCCCACCCUCUGCACCGCGAACCAGAAUACUAGGGGCUUUCUAACAGGCUGUACCCCUGGGAAAAGAAAGAUUUCAGAUUGUAAAUGAUUUAUUAAAUUGACUUGGGAGGCUAUUUUAAAAAAUGGUAACUCUAGGGCUGCAUUUUAUACCCCUUCCCUGAACAGGAGGAAAAGGUUUGAUAAGCACCUUAUUGUCCUGCCUGUCACUUAUUGCAACCUUACGAACCAUAUGCAUACCUUAUGAAUCGGCAGUAUUUCUGCUCCUUGGAGAAUGUGUAAUUGUUGUUAGCUGAAAAGGGAGUGUUCAAGGCUUAUGCUAUUUCUUCUUAAAAUGUUUAUCAUUUCUUUUGCCUAAAACUUCAAAUGAAGUAAGAUUCUCUUCUUGCUUCAAAUGAUCCAGAAGAGAAACUCAAAAAUUUACUGCAGUAAUUUCAGAUCGAAGUCAGUAUCUAAAAUCCCUAACCACGAAUCUCCUUGUGUAUCCUUUGCAUGCUAUGAAAAUAAAACAAGUGGGACUAAGUA